rnacentral:rRNA from 1 species
UACGGAGGGUGCAAGCGUUGUCCGGAUUUAUUGGGUUUAAAGGGUGCGUAGGUGGCCCUAUAAGUCAGUGGUGAAAGCCUGUCGCUCAACGAUAGGACUGCCAUUGAUACUGUAGGGCUUGAGUAUUGAUGAGGUAGGCGGAAUUGAUAGUGUAGCGGUGAAAUGCAUAGAUAUUAUCAAGAACACCGAUUGCGUAGGCA